GUAUAGAAUCUACCUUAUACAGGGGGAUAGCCUUUGGAAACGAAGAUUAAUACCCCAUAGUAUUAAUGAGUGGCAUCCUUAUUAAUUAAAACUCCGGUGGUAUAAGAUGACUAUGCGUCCUAUUAGCUAGUUGGUAUGGUAACGGCAUACCAAGGCAACGAUAGGUAGGGGUCCUGAGAGGGAGAUCCCCCACACUGGUACUGAGACACGGACCAGACUCCUACGGGAGGCAGCAGUGAGGAAUAUUGGACAAUGGUCGGAAGACUGAUCCAGCCAUGCCGCGUGCAGGAAGACUGCCCUAUGGGUUGUAAACUGCUUUUAUACAGGAAGAAUAAGGGGUACGUGUACUCUGAUGACGGUACUGUAAGAAUAAGCACCGGCUAACUCCGUGCCAGCAGCCGCGGUAAUACGGAGGGUGCAAGCGUUAUCCGGAAUCAUUGGGUUUAAAGGGUCCGUAGCGGGUUUAUAAGUCAGUGGUGAAAGUCUGCAGCUUAACUGUAGAAUUGCCAUUGAUACUGUAGAUCUUGAAUCGUUGUGAAG
rnacentral:rRNA from 1 species